ensembl:snoRNA LOC120096394 small nucleolar RNA SNORA17
GCUGCUCCUAGAGGCCUGGCUGGUGUGGCUGCUGUGCCAUAUGUGUAUCAGUAGGUGGCAGAGAGGAGAGAGGUUAUGUCUGCACUCAGUGUUCUGACCAAAUAAAUAGCUGAAUGAUUAGUAGCCGAAUAUU